ensembl:snoRNA
UGCCUUUUGUGUUACCCAUUCUUUUCACAUUCCCUGAAGAAUGUGGUGUCAAAAAAGGCAUACAGUAAUACUCUUGGUUAGGCAUUUACAAAGUGAUUUCUCUGUAUCACGCUGUCUAAAGCUCAAACCAAGUACAACA